UACGUAGGGGGCGAGCGUUGUCCGGAUUUACUGGGCUUAAAGGGCGUGUAGGCGGUUAUGUAAGUCAAUGGUGAAAGGCUCGGGCUCAACCGCAGACAUGCCAAUGAAACUGUAUAACUUGAGGGUAGGAGAGGAGAGAGGAAUUCCCGGUGUAGCGGUGAAAUGCGUAGAUAUCGGGAGGAAUUCCAGUGGCGAAGGCAGCUUUCUGGCCUAUCACUGACGCUGAGGCGCGAAAGCGUGGGGAGCAAACGGG
rnacentral:rRNA from 1 species